GUCCCUGUAACGCAAUGGAUAGCGCGAGUUGGACUUCUAAUCCAAGGUCGUGGGUUCGAAUCCCACCUGAGAUG
rnacentral:tRNA from 1 species